CGCUGAAGCAAUGCUCAAGGUGAGGGAGAAGAAAGACAAACCCUAACACCAUAAUCCAACCACCAUAACUUCCCACUCUGAGCUCCAAUCGCCGUACCGUUUUCGGCCACGUGUCCGCAGUGACGAGCUCUACAAAGCCCAGUAAGUUAUAAGCUUGCAAUUUUGCCUUGUGGGUUGCCUUGGGUUAUACGUGAAAAUCGGCUAAGAUGCAGGUCAGACGGCACCUCGCUGAGUCAUGAUGGAAGCUUCUGAUUAGCGAAGAUCCUUAUCUUUUGGGGAUCUAUUUUGGUUAUAUGUAUUUACUUAGAUAUUUAAUAUCUCCACUGCUUAUAUACUUGAUGUAUUAACUUCCUCUUAGAGGUUAUUUUGGAGAAACAAGUUUUGUAACUCUGUACUUUGGGA